rnacentral:lncRNA from 1 species
UUGAUUGACCUUUCCAGAGCAAGCACAUUAGCAAAGUUUGCCCUCAGUUCCAACUCACAGAUGAAGUAAGGGAAAAUAUUGCUCGUGGAAUGGCAAUUUUAGGUCCUACGUUUACCCUCGAUGCUCUUGUUGAAUGUCUUGUGAUUGGAGUUGGUACCAUGUCAGGGUACGUCAGCUUGAAAUUAUGUGCUGCUUUGGCUGCAUGUCAGUUCUUGCCAACUACUUCGUGUUCAUGACUUUCUUCCCAGCUUGUGUGUCCUUGGUAUUAGAGCUCUAGGCUUGGUUCUUGUUCAUGCUCACAGU